GUACUCGAGCGGCGAACGGGUGAGUAACACGUGAGCAACCUGCCCCUGACUCUGGGAUAAGCCCGGGAAACUGGGUCUAAUACCGGAUGUGACCAGCCUCCGCAUGGAGUGCUGGUGGAAAGUUUUUCGGUUGGGGAUGGGCUCGCGGCCUAUCAGCUUGUUGGUGGGGUGAUGGCCUACCAAGGCGACGACGGGUAACCGGCCUGAGAGGGCGACCGGUCACACUGGGACUGAGACACGGCCCAGACUCCUACGGGAGGCAGCAGUGGGGAAUAUUGCGCAAUGGGCGGAAGCCUGACGCAGCGACGCCGCGUGAGGGAUGACGGCCUUCGGGUUGUAAACCUCUUUCAGCAGGGACGAAGCUAACGUGACGGUACCUGCAGAAGAAGCGCCGGCUAACUACGUGCCAGCAGCCGCGGUAAUACGUAGGGCGCAAGCGUUGUCCGGAAUUAUUGGGCGUAAAGAGCUCGUAGGCGGUUUGUCGCGUCUGUCGUGAAAGCCCACGGCUUAACCGUGGGUCUGCGGUGGAUACGGGCAGACUAGAGGCAGGUAGGGGAGAAUGGAAUUCCCGGUGUAGCGGUGAAAUGCGCAGAUAUCGGGAGGAACACCGGUGGCGAAGGCGGUUCUCUGGGCCUGUACUGACGCUGAGGAGCGAAAGCGUGGGGAGCGAACAGGAUUAGAUACCCUGGUAGUCCACGCCGUAAACGUUG
rnacentral:rRNA from 1 species